rnacentral:lncRNA from 1 species
UCUUCUCUCGACUCACAGUCUAACCCACAACCCUCUCUCUCAAUCGCGUCUCUCCCACUUCGUUCCCAAACGCUUCGCUCAACCUCCCUCACAUCCUCAAUCGCUUCGCUACGUCUCACACCCAAAUGCCCUCAUCUCCCUCAAUCAAUCCAUCCUCGACCUCAACCCUUUCUCUCAAUCACUCUCGAAUCAUACAAAAAAACAAAGGCUGAAGCAAAAGAGAGCUCACCUCCGGUGGUGAAGACGGUAACGACGGCUCAACCUCGCUCCUUCCCUCUCCCAAAUAGGUUUGUGUUUGAUUUUUCGAUUUAGGGUUCUGUUUGCUCCGUUUUUCCAAUCCGCCUCCACUUCGUUUUCGAAAUCGCCGUUAAUUUUUUUCCUCUCCUCACUGAUUUCUCUUUCUCUCCUUUUAUGCUCCAGAUUAGGGUUUUCGGAUUUGGCCUCUAGAGCUCAAAGAAGAAAAUUUCCAGAAGUCUUUUUGAUGCUCAGAAGUGCUUUUAUCUUGUUUCACGCUACACUUCCGGAAACG